UGAAACAACAGUCCCCGUACGAUCGCUGAAGUUAAGCUAUGUCGAGCCUGGUCAGUACGUAGAUGGGUGAGUGCUUGAGAAUACCAGGU